rnacentral:rRNA from 1 species
AUUGAACGCUGGCGGCAGGCCUAACACAUGCAAGUCGAGCGAGCGGCGGACGGGUGAGUAAUGUCUGGGAAACUGCCUGAUGGAGGGGGAUAACUACUGGAAACGGUAGCUAAUACCGCAUACCAUCAGAUGUGCCCAGAGGGGAUUAGCUAGUAGGUGGGGUAACGGCUCAUCUAGGCGACGAUCCCUAGCUGGUCUGAGAGGAUGACCAGCCACACGGUAACUGAGACACGGGCCAGCCUCGGACGGGUGUAAGCCGUGGGGAAUAUUGCACAAUGGGCGCACGCCGUAUGCAGCCAUGCCGCGUGUAUGAAGAAGGCCUUAGGGUGGUAAAGUACUUUCAGCGGGGAGGCGUUACCCGCAGAAGAAGCACCGGCUAACUCCGUGCCAGCAGCCGCGGUAAUAC